rnacentral:lncRNA from 1 species
UCUUUCUUCUUGAUUCAGGGCUGUCUCCGAGUACCUUCCAUGAACAGAUCGGUCCCAGGGGAGCCCUUCAUAGGUGAAGACCCAGUGCCUCAUGGUCUCCCUCAGUGCUGCCCAGCUGCUGUGGAAUCCAGAGAACAGCUGGAGGAAGUGGAGGGGAGGGAGGAAAACCAGGAAGACAACAAGGAUGGCUUCCACACAUCACUCCUUAGAAGGUCCGGGGCUUUCCGUGCCCGCAGUUACACUACUGACUCCUUCAAAAGACACAGUUGGGGGCCUGGCAAGGAGUUCCAGGAUCCAAUAAGCAGGAGGAGACUGCAGUCAUCGGAAUGCCCAGGCUCCCAGGAAGCCCCCUUUCUACAGAGCCUCGAGGAAUUGGGCACCCCUCUGGGAGCUCAGCAGCAGGAGCAGCAGCAGGGGCAGGAGCAGCAGCGUGGCCAACCCUUUCACCGGGUAUGACAGAUAGACCCCAGCUCCCCCUCCUGAUCCUUCCCUGCCAGCAACCACUCUGUACUCUUCUGUUCCAUCAGCUCUCUGUGCCCGGACCUAGCUCGGGCUCCAUCUGCGCCCAUCUGAAUCUAUCUUCUGUGGCCCUCUGUCUGCUUCCCUGUCUAUAUGCGCUGUCCCGGUCGCUUGGAAGCCUGCCUCUGUCUCUUUCUGUAACACUGUUUCUUCAUUUCUAUGUCUGUCUCUCUGUAUUGAUGCGGGUAUCUCUGUCCCCUCCCUCUUUAAAGUCCUCUAUCUCUCUGGAGGCUAUGACCACUUCUUUCUGUGGGCCCUACAGUUCCCAGAGUUAGAACUGGACUUAUCUGUGGGAAUAAACUAGGCAUCUGGUACCCUGAAAGACUCAGUAACUCUCUAACCAGAGUUUAAUAGGAAUAGCAAUUGAGAAAGAAUACAGAGCCUAGAGUGUAGGUGAUUGCUGUGGUCACUGUAUAUCAAGGGUGAAG